ACGAACGCUGGCGGCACGCUUAACACAUGCAAGUCGAACGAGAGAAGAGAAGCUUGCUUUUCUGAUCUAGUGGCGGACGGGUGAGUAACACGUGAGCAAUCUGCCUUUCAGAGGGGGAUACCGAUUGGAAACGAUCGUUAAUACCGCAUAACAUAAUUGAACCGCAUGAUUUGAUUAUCAAAGAUUUAUCGCUGAAAGAUGAGCUCGCGUCUGAUUAGCUAGUUGGUAAGGUAACGGCUUACCAAGGCGACGAUCAGUAGCCGGACUGAGAGGUUGAUCGGCCACAUUGGGACUGAGACACUGCCCAGACUCCUACGGGAGGCAGCAGUGGGGAAUAUUGCACAAUGGAGGAAACUCUGAUGCAGCGAUGCCGCGUGAGGGAAGAAGGUUUUAGGAUUGUAAACCUCUGUCUUCAGGGACGAAAAAAGACGGUACCUGAGGAGGAAGCUCCGGCUAACUACGUG
rnacentral:rRNA from 1 species